GAUGAACGCUAGCGGCAGGCCUAAUACAUGCAAGUCGAACGGUAAGUAUGAUAGCAAUAUUGUACGAGAGUGACGUACGGGUGCGUAACACGUAUGCAACCUACCCAAAACAGGAGGAUAGCUCGGGGAAACUCGAAUUAACCCUCCAUGAGAUCAUAUUGUAGCCUUACAGAGUGAUUAAAACUAAAGUGGUUUGGAUGGGCAUGCGUCUGAUUAGUUAGUUGGCGGGGUAACGGCCCACCAAGACGAUGAUCAGUAGGGGAACUGAGAGGUUGAUCCCCCACACUGGCACUGAGAUACGGGCCAGACUCCUACGGGUGGCAG
rnacentral:rRNA from 1 species